UAAAAGGAGAAGUUUAAUUAAAAAUGAUUCAAAACAGACGAAAGGUAUAAGCUCUACAAAAUAUGUUAGUAUGUUUAUAGUCUCUUGAAUGGUAGCUUGAAUCGACAAAAUAGCAUAAUGCAUAUGUAUUUUUUAAGACUUUACAUACCAUAAUGCUUCAUAUAAACCCCUUCUUUUAUUAGACACCAGAAGAAUGCACCAGUAUCUUAUUAAUAAUUUGUCUUUCUUACUUUACAGUGAUCUAUCCGCAAUUUUUUAGAAACCAGGGGGUUAUUUAAUCGAAAACCUUCAUUAUAAUUUUACCUAUAAUCAUAGUAAUAACCCCCAUCCAAGUAAAUUUUAUCACUUCGUGCUAACAGGGCGGCAGACAUGCACGAAUUAACGAUCUGGGAAAUCUGUACGACAGCCGAAAACCUGAGUACCGUAGACCCGUAGUUUAAUAGAAUGAUCUACUUUCUAUUUAGUUUAUUGUGGGGCUAUCCUGCCGACGUGAAAGGGAAAAAAACAUUUUGUUGAUUUCAGCUACUGGUCUCAUGUUGUCAACAUUGGCCUUUGCAUUUAGCACAGGUUUUUAUUGGGCUUUAAUCACAAGAUUUAUUCAAGGCUCAUUUAUGGAUAUGUUUUAAACACGGAUAACUGGUUGAGAUUUACUUUACCUGGUUUGGUAGCAGUAUCGAAAUCAAUCUUGGUUGACCUUUGUGACGAUACAAAAGUAGCUAUUGGCAUGUCAUUCCUAACUACUUCGUUUACUACAGAACUAAUCUUUGGUCCAAGUGUUGCCGGAUUUUUGGCGUUUCCAACGGAAUAUUAUCCAAAUGUAUUUAAGAAAGGUAGCUAUAUUGUAUCUGUUUUUAAAAACACAUUAUUUUUACAUCAAGGAAUUCUUCUUCAAAUUUGUUGAUUUUAUUUGCAACAUUUUAGAUUCUUUGUUUGGUCUAUUUGGUAUUUUACUCCCUAACUUUAUUAUUGUUAUUGGAAUUGCUAUUUCUCUCGUCUUUAUUGAUUUCCGCCGGGUAAGGCGGAAUCUUUAAAAUCGCAUUGGAAGAUAGAGAGAUAGGGACCACCUAGAGCCUGGACGCGCGGUGUCCAAGAUAAAGUAUUUACCCUGGGCUUGGAAAUUGUUCAAUUUCUUAAAAGCCAAUAGAAAUGCGUUAUUUGAUUUUUUAGCCAAUAGGAUCUUAGAUUGUCUGAAUUUGACAUUCAUGGCUUCCUGCGAGGUUUUUUUUCGAAGUUCUUCUAGUUCUAGGUCCCACAGGCCAAAGUUUCUUGCCCAAAAUAGUCGGUUACCGUUUGUCUUGAUAUGUUUAAAACUCCAAAUCAUUUUUUGGCAAAACAGGAUGUUUGGUGGUUUGGUCGAUGAGAGUUCUCAGGAAAAAAAAAUUCUGUAUCUUUUAAGCUAGCUAGUUUGUUACUUAGCUAUGUUAAAGUGAUUUACAUUUGCGAUUCUUCAGAGUGUUUAAAGCUCUUAUUUAAGCUACGCAAUUCCCUAGCAUUUCUGCCCAACUAUAAAACAGCCUUCCUUAUAUGUAGUUAGGGAUCAAACCCAUUACCUUUUUUCAAAUAUCUGGUGAGCAAGUGAAUGACUUACAGUUUGGGAACCAAAACUGAUGAUUAAUAGCCUAAAAGGUGCAGUAGUUUUCAGGAAGGUUUGACUGGUUUAAGCCACAUUUGCAUGUAUGGACUAUUGCAAAUAAAGUUUCACAUAAAGAACGUAAAAUAAGUUUUGUCUUAUAUUUAACAUGACCAUCGUUAAAAUGCAACAUCAGCAGCAGAUCAGAAUUACAAACUUUUACAGGCAAAUCUACAGUGAAUUUUUCUGAUAAUAUUCUUUAUGAACUUUGUGAAAAGGGCUGUGUACUUUUUUCUAUUAAGAUAACAAGUCCUUCAUUAAUCGUUCAUUUUGUUUUGUAGACGAAUAUUCAAAAAAAAACAUUUUUUUCAAAUUUGAAUCCUAAAUCGAACAUUUUUUCUUAUAUAUUUUGGCCUAUGGACCGUUACGUUGUGUUACAAGCAAAAAUUUUUGCUCUAAUAACACCGUAAAUACGAGCUUAAUUUGCAUGUAAGUGUGUCGUAACUUAUACGUAAAAAACAUAUGAAUGCAGCUUUAAAAAAGCACCAAGUAUACUGUAUUUACUCUAACAGAUUCCCUGUUAUUCCCACCUCAAGUAAUCCCGCCUUUUUUACCAUGGUUUGUAAAAAAUAUUUCUGCCUUUUCAAAAUUUGCAUACAUUAUCUGUGAAAGAAAUUUUUGUGGAACAAAAUGAAGUUUAGUCAAAAUGAAGUUUAGUCUUUCUAGGGCUUUCAAUAUAUGAAAGUAAAAUUUUCAAUAAGCGCCAAGUUUCUCAAUGUGGUUUUCGAUUAGG